GAACCGUCCAAACGUUAUUCGGAAUCACUGGGCUUACAGAGUUCGUAGGCGGUCUGGAAAGUUGGGUGUGAAAUCCCUCGGCCUAACCGAGGAACUGCGCUUGAAACUACCAGACUCGAGGGAGAUAGAGGAAAGCGGAACUGAUGGUGGAGCGGUGAAAUGCGUUGAUAUCAUCAGGAACACCGGUGGCGAAGGCGGCUUUCUGGGUCUUACCUGACGCUGAGGAACGAAAGCCAGGGGAGCGAACGGGAUUAGAUACCCCGGUAGUCCUGGCCGUAAACGAUGAGCACUAGGUCGUGGGCCUCCACAGGCCCUCGGCCGUAGCGAAAGUGUUAAGUGCUCCGCCUGGGGAGUAUGGUCGCAAGGCUG
rnacentral:rRNA from 1 species